ensembl:misc_RNA Metazoa_SRP Metazoan signal recognition particle RNA
GCCGGGCGCGGUGGCUCACGCCUGUAAUCCCAGCACUUUGGGAGGCCGAGGUGGGCGGAUCACCUGAGGUCGGGAGUUCGAGACUAGCCUGACCAACAUGGAGAAACCCCAUCUCUA